AUAAAAAAAGCAUUAAACGGAUACCUUGACAAAAGAUUCUAUUGGAUGUUGUACAACAAAAAUUUUAGCUGAGCUGUAAUGCUGGGACGCUGAAAUGUCCAAUAAAAGAAAUUUUUCUCUUGGAAGUUUUCAGAAAAGUGAAUUGAAACAUCUUAGUAACUUUUUAAUAAAUCAAACGAGAUACUGAAAGUAGUGGCGAACGAACUCAGUACAGGCAAAAAACAUAGAUAAAACACCAAUUGAACCUCGAGACCAGAGAAGGUUUAAGUCCUGUAGAUCGGCAAAAACUGUGUUUUUAAGUAAAAGAGGUUGUACUCUUUGAACAAUGGGGGACCACCCUCAAAGCCUAAAUUUUGGUCUUUUGAUCGAUAGUGAACGAGUACUGUGAAGGAAAGGACAUACAUCCUAGGAUGUUUUGAAAUUUAAUGCUAGCAAUCGGUUGGAGCUUUAUAAAGUGACAGCGUACCUUUUGCAUAAUGGGUCAGCGAGUUUUUAAAAAAGGCAAGCUUUUAACGAGGCGAAGAAAAUACGAAUUUUAAAAAAUAACCAGUCUUUUUUAAAAGACCCGAAACUGAGUGAUCUAACCUUGAACAGGCUGAAGACAGAGUGGUAACAUUCGUUGGAGGGCCGAACCCGUGUCUGUGGCAACAUACUGGGAUGAUUUGAGGUUAGGAGUGAAAGGCUAAUCAAACUCAGAGAUAGCUGGUUUUCUGCGAAAUCUAUUUAAGUAGAGCGAUCAAGUAAAACUUUUUGGGGUAGAGCACUUUUUAGAUGAUGGGGCAAUUUCGCUUACUGAUUUUAAGAAAACUCCGAAUACAAAAAGCUCUGAACUUGAUCAGACAGACCAUGGGUGCUAAGGUCCAUGGUCAAGAGGGAAACAGCCCAGAUUGAUCGCUAAGGCCCCAAAGAAAUCUUUCAGUUUAAGGAAGUAAGAUUACGAAGACAACUAGUAGGUCGGCUUGGAAGCAGCCAUCCUUGAAAGAAAUCGUAACAGAUCACUGGUCGAGUAAUUUUGCACCGAAAAUUUAUGGGCAUUAAAAGAUUCGCCGAAGCGGCAAACUUUUUUAAGUGGUAGCAGAACGUUCUGUGAAAUCAAUGAAGAAAAUUUGAGAAAAUUUUUCGAGAAAUCAGAAGUGAAAAUGCUGACAUGAGUAACAAAAAACAAUGUACAGAAUCAUUGUGGCUGUAAAUCCAAGGGUUUUGACGGAAGGAUUAUCCGCGUCAUGCCAUCUUUCGAUGGACAUAUUAGACGGUCCCUAAGAACGCUGAUGACAAUCAGGUUUGAUGGGUUAAACGUUUCGUUUCUUUAAAAAAAUGACAGAUUCUUAAGAUUAUUUUUAGUUUAUAGAGGAAACUAAAGGUGGUGGACGAAUUUCAGGAAAAAGUUUUUUUACUGCACAAACCGUACCUUAAACCAACACAGGUGGAUGGGUGGAAUACACUAAAGCCAAUGAGAGAAUGAUGUUGAAGGAACUCGGCAAAAUGAUUCCGUAACUUCGGAAGAAGGAAUAACCUUGCGAGGGCAACCUUGCAAGGUUGGCACAGAAUUGGGGGUAGCGACUGUUUAAUAAAAACACAGGUCUCUGCAAAUUUGUAAAAAGAUGUAUAGGGACUGACACCUGCCCGGUGCUGUAAGGUUAAACUAUGCUGUUUUGGCAGUGUACAUAAGCCUCAGUAAACGGCGGCUGUAACUCUGACGGUCCAAAGGUAGCGAAAUUCCUUGUCGGGUAAGUUCCGACCU
rnacentral:rRNA from 1 species